rnacentral:rRNA from 1 species
AACGUACGCUGGCGGCACGCCUAACACAUGCAAGUCGAACGAAGUAGCAAUACUUAGUGGCAGACGGGUGAGUAACAUGUAGGUAUCUGCCCUUUGGCCUGGAAUAACACGAGGAAACUUGUGCUAAUACCGGAUAAGUCUUUACGGAGAAAGCUUUAUGCACCAUUGGAUGAGCCUGCACUUGAUUAGUUUGUUGGUGGGGUAACGGCCUACCAAGACUGUGAUCAAUAGCUGAUUUGAGAGGAUGAUCAGCCACAUUGGGACUGAGACACGGCCCAAACUCCUACGGGAGGCAGCAGUGGGGAAUCUUGCACAAUGGAGGAAACUCUGAUGCAGCGAUGCCGCGUGAGUGAAGAAGGCCCUUGGGUUGUAAAGCUCUUUCGUCGGGGAAGAAAAUGACUGUACCCGAAUAAGAAGGUCCGGCUAACUUCGUGCCAGCAGCCGCGGUAAUACGAAGGGACCUAGCGUAGUUCGGAAUUACUGGGCUUAAAGAGUUCGUAGGUGGUUGAAAAAGUUGGUGGUGAAAUCCCAGAGCUUAACUCUGGAACUGCCAUCAAAACUUUUCAGCUAGAGUAUGAUAGAGGAAAGCAGAAUUUCUAGUGUAGAGGUGAAAUUCGUAGAUAUUAGAAAGAAUACCAAUUGCGAAGGCAGCUUUCUGGAUCAUUACUGACACUGAGGAACGAAAGCAUGGGUAGCGAAGAGGAUUAGAUACCCUCGUAGUCCAUGCCGUAAACGAUGUGUGUUAGACGUUGGAAAUUUAUUUUCAGUGUCGCAGCAAAAGCGAUAAACACACCGCCUGGGGAGUACGACCGCAAGGUUA